rnacentral:rRNA from 1 species
CACGUAGGGGGCAAGCGUUGUCCGGAUUCAUUGGGCGUAAAGAGCGUGUAGGCGGCCAGGUAGGUCGGUUGUGAAAACUGGAGGCUCAACCUUCAGAGGUCGACCGAAACCAUCUGGCUAGAGUCCGGGAGAGGAGAGUGGAAUUCCUGGUGUAGCGGUGAAAUGCGCAGAUAUCAGGAAGAACACCCGUGGCGAAAGCGGCGCUCUGGAACGGGACUGACGCUGAGACGCGAAAGCGUGGGGAGCGAACAGG